UAGGGGGAAGUAUAAAGGGAGUACGGGGAGUUUUGAUCUCUCAGGAGUGGGUUCGAUUCCUACCCCCCUAA
rnacentral:tRNA from 1 species